NNAUGCGAUCAUACCAGCACUAAAGCACCGGAUCCCAUCAGAACUCCGAAGUUAAGCGUGCUUGGGCGAGAGUAGUACUAGGAUGGGUGACCUCCUGGGAAGUCCUCGUGUUGCAUUCC
rnacentral:rRNA from 1 species